CCUAACAAUUGAAGAUGUAAUAAUUGCAUGAGCUUUGCCAACAUGACAUCAAAAGCUGUGCCACACUCAUGCUCUGGCGUCUCCUGCCUGGGAAGUCAUUUGAGCAGGAGGCCGGAUGAAGAGCAUCCUUUGCUGCUGCCACCUUCUUUCUGCAGAGGCAGUUCUCAGCGCAGGAAUGGCAGCCAUGAGGCAGAGGCAGGAGCGCUGUAGACACCAUGGCAGCAGGCUAGUUUUACAAACUACUCCUGCAAGAUUUUCUUCUUUGUUUUAGUCAUCAGCCUUCAUACGAUUCUGUAAAUAAGUAUUUUCCAGAAAGGACUUCUGCUUAAGUCAACAAAUUUCUUCUACUUCCAAUGAGAAGUCAGAGCCACUGCCCAUAACCAUAAAGGUAAACAUGUGUUAUUAACUACCACAGCAUCUACAAAGAAAAGAUGUUUAAAAAUACUCUAGGAGAGCUGGAGAAAUGGUUAAGAUCACAGGCUGCUCUUGCAGAGGACCCAGGUUUAAGAGCACCCACAUGGCAGUUCACAAGCACCUGUAACUCCAUGGGAUUCCAUUCUCUCUUCUGGCCUCUGAAGGCACUGUAUUCAUGGUACAGAGAUAUGUGCAGCAUCUGACUCUUUCCCAAGCCUGGAUCUCCAACAAUCAGGAUGUGUGGGUCUCCUCGAAUGGGAAUCCUGUUUUUGUCAUCUGCGUACUUCUGGCUACCGCCAAAGAGUGCUAACAUCAAACCUGCUUUAACAAGCUUGUGUGGAAGAAGAGAACAAAAAAGAAAAAUAUCAAGAUGACUAGCAAGAGGCAUUCCUGCAUGGUUACAGCAUGACCUGUCUGUCUGGAGACGACUUCCCCUUCAGAGUGCUGAUGGAGCCCAAGGCUUGGUAUCUAAUUAGUCAGAUGCUCCACUCCUAAGCUAUACCACCAGCCAGGAUACUUUUAAACAUAACUGAACUUUAUUAUUUUUUUUUUUACAAUGAAGUCAAGAAACAAAGCCAGGCAUGUCUCAAAAACCAAAAACAUCUAGAAACAAACUUCUAUAACAUAAAUGAUUAAAAAUGAAGACUAAAAGUAUAUAAAUCAGUGGUAUCUUAGAAACUGCUAAGAGCAACUUUGUAUGGCAACAAUCCAUUCCCAAUUGAGAAGCACCUAUUGGAGCCUACUUUAACUUGGUGUCUAAUUACUUUGUCUAUCUGCCAUAGGUGUCCAUUCCCAGUAAUUGUCGACAGGUCCAGGGGGCCAUUAUUUGCCUCCCACAUAAUCAACUUAUAGAGAAUGAUGAUUCAUAUUAAAAUAUUAAUAACUGGUAA